rnacentral:rRNA from 1 species
AUGGCUUCCAUCACCAUGCAUGUAUGCUGGACCAAAUGGAACGAAAGAAAUGCACGGGUUUUCCGCAACAAGAGUGUUGCACCAUCGAUAUUGCUACACGCCAUAAAAGAUGAAGCUCGUCUUUGGGUGACCACGGGUGAAAAAAAAUUAGGUGCCAUCUUACCAGGAGAGUAA